rnacentral:rRNA from 1 species
AUGUCAAAUCAUCAUGCCCCUUAUGUCUUGGGCUACAAACGUGCUACAAUGGCGCAGACAAAGUGAAGCAAAGCGGUGACGCGGAGCCAAUCACAAAAAAGCGCCUCAGUUCGGAUUGCAGGCUGCAACUCGCCUGCAUGAAGUUGGAAUCGCUAGUAAUCGCGAAUCAGCAUGUCGCGGUGAAUACGUUCCCGGGCCUU